rnacentral:rRNA from 1 species
CUUGCUCUUAUGAAGUUAGCGGCGGACGGGUGAAGUAACACGUGGGUAACCUGCCCAUAAGACUGGGAUAACUCCGGGAAAACCGGGGCUAAUACCGGAUAACAUUUUGAACCGCAUGGUUCGAAAUUGAAAGGCGGCUUCGGCUGUCACUUAUGGAUGGACCCGCGUCGCAUUAGCUAGUUGGUGAGGUAACGGCUCACCAAGGCAACGAUGCGUAGCCGACCUGAGAGGGUGAUCGGCCACACUGGGACUGAGACACGGCCCAGACUCCUACGGGAGGCAGCAGUAGGGAAUCUUCCGCAAUGGACGAAAGUCUGACGGAGCAACGCCGCGUGAGUGAUGAAGCUUUCGGGUCGUAAAACUCUGUUGUUAGGGAAGAACAAGUGCUAGUUGAAUAAGCUGGCACCUUGACGGUACCUAACCAGAAAGCCACGGCUAACUACGUGCCAGCAGCCGCGGUAAUACGUAGGUGGCAAGCGUUAUCCGGAAUUAUUGGGCGUAAAGCGCGCGCAGGUGGUUUCUUAAGUCUGAUGUGAAAGCCCACGGCUCAACCGUGGAGGGUCAUUGGAAACUGGGAGACUUGAGUGCAGAAGAAGGAAAGUGGAAUUCCAUGUGUAGCGGUGAAAUGCGUAGAGAUAUGGAGGAACACCAGUGGCGAAGCGACUUUCUGGUCUGUAACUGACACUGAAGCGCGAAAGCGUGGGGAGCAAACAGGAUUAGAUACC